AUUGAACGCUGGCGGCAGGCUUAACACAUGCAAGUCGAACGGUAACAGAACUAGCUUGCUAGUUGCUGACGAGUGGCGGACGGGUGAGUAACGCGUAGGAAUCUACCGAGUAGUGGGGGACAACAGUUGGAAACGACUGCUAAUACCGCAUAAGCCCUAAGGGGGAAAGGAGGGGAUCUGUUUACAGACCUUUCGCUAUUUGAUGAGCCUGCGUGAGAUUAGCUAGUUGGUGAGGUAAGAGCUCACCAAGGCGACGAUCUCUAGCUGGUCUGAGAGGAUGAUCAGCCACACUGGGACUGAGACACGGCCCAG
rnacentral:rRNA from 1 species